GUCAUUUAGAGGAAGUAAAAGUCGUAACAAGGUAACCGUAGGUGAACCUGCGGUUGGAUCAUUACCAAUCCUGGAUUCGCAAGAAUCCUUCAACACCUGUGCACUUAUUAUUGUUUCUGGGUGCUUCGGCGCCCAACCUUAUAAACCUUACUAUUAGUCUGAUUAUUAUUCUAUAAUAAAAACAACUUUUGACAACGGAUCUCUUGGCUCUC
rnacentral:misc_RNA from 1 species